rnacentral:rRNA from 1 species
GUCGAACGAAUACCCCCAUGACUUUAGUGCUUGCACUAGAUAAUUGGAUUUUGGUAUUAGUGGCGAACGGGUGAGUAACACGUGGGUAACCUGCCCCUUAGUUGAGGAUAACUAUUGGAAACGAUAGCUAAUACUGAAUAUGAUAUCUUUUCGCAUGAAAAGAUAUUAAAAGAAGCGUUUGCUUCGCUAAGGGAUGGACCUGCGGUGCAUUAGCUAGUUGGUGUGGUAACGGCACACCAAGGCAACGAUGCAUAGCCGGGCUGAGAGGCUGAACGGCCACAUUGGGACUGAGACACGGCCCAAACUUCUACGGAAGGCUGCAGUAGGGAAUUUUUCGCAAUGGACGAAAGUCUGACGAAGCAAUGCCGCGUGAGGGAUGACGGUUUUCGGAUUGUAAACCUCUGUUAUAAGAGAAGAACACUAAGUAUAGGAAAUGAUAUUUAGCUGACGGUAUCUUAUCAGAAAGGGACGGCUAACUACGUGCCAGCAGCCGCGGUAAU